GAAAUGCGAUAAUUAAUGUGAAUUGCAGAAUUCAGUGAAUCAUCGAGUCUUUGAACGCACAUUGCGCCCCCUGGUAUUCCGGGGGGCAUGCCUGUCCGAGCGUCAUUGCUGCCCUCAAGCACGGCUUGUGUGUUGGGCUUCCGUCCCUGGCAACGGGGACGGGCCCAAAAGGCAGUGGCGGCACCAUGUCUGGUCCUCGAGCGUAUGGGGCUUUGUCACCCGCUCCCGUAGGUCCAGCUGGCAGCUAGCCUCGCAACCAAUCUUUUUAACCAGGUUGACCUCGCAUCAGGUAGGGAUACCCGCUGAAGUGAAGC
rnacentral:misc_RNA from 1 species